rnacentral:rRNA from 1 species
UACGUAGGAUGCAAGCGUUGUCCGGAAUUAUUGGGCGUAAAGAGCGCGCAGGCGGUAUGACAAGUCAGAUGUGAAAGAGGCCGGCUUAACCGGCAAGGGUCAUUUGAAACUGUCAGACUAGAGUGCAGCAGAGGAUAGUGGAAUUCCCGGUGUAGUGGUGAAAUGCGUAGAUAUCGGGAGGAACACCGGUGGCGAAGGCGGCAUUCUGGACCGAUAUUGACGCUGAGGAGCGAAAGCCAGGGGAGCAAACGGG